UGGGGAAUUUUGGACAAUGGGGGAAACCCUGAUCCAGCAACGCCGCGUGAAUGAAGAAGGCCCUUGGGUUGUAAAGUUCUUUUAUAACUGAGAAGAAGUUCUAGUUUAAGAGAUGAGAAUGGAGAUAGUAGGUUAUGAAUAAGCACCGGCUAACUACGUGCCAGCAGCCGCGGUAAUACGUAGGGUGCGAGCGUUAAUCGGAAUUAUUGGGCGUAAAGGGUGAGUAGGCGGUUUAGUAAGUUAAUAGUGAAAGCAUUGGGCUUAACCUGAUAAGUGCUAUUGAUACUGCUAGACUAGAGUUAGUUAGAGGAUUGUGGAAUUCCAAGUGUAGUAGUGAAAUGCGUAGAUAUUUGGAGGAACCUUAAUGGCGAAGGCAGCAAUCUAGGAUGAGACUGACGCU
rnacentral:rRNA from 1 species